rnacentral:rRNA from 1 species
UUGCUCAGGAUGAACGCUGGCGGCGUGCUUAACACAUGCAAGUCGAGCGAAGCAUAGAUGUGGAAGUUUUUCGGAUGGAAGCGUGUAUGACUGAGCGGCGGACGGGUGAGUAACGCGUGGGUAACCUGCCUCAUACAGGGGGAUAACAGUUAGAAAUGACUGCUAAUACCGCAUAAGCGCACAGGACCGCAUGGUCUGGUGUGAAAAACUCCGGUGGUAUGAGAUGGACCCGCGUCUGAUUAGCUGGUUGGUGAGGUAACGGCCCACCAAGGCGACGAUCAGUAGCCGACCUGAGAGGGUGGCCGGCCACAUUGGGACUGAGACACGGCCCAAACUCCUACGGGAGGCAGCAGUGGGGAAUAUUGCACAAUGGGGGAAACCCUGAUGCAGCAACGCCGCGUGAGUGAAGAAGUAUUUCGGUAUGUAGAGCUCUAUCAGCAGGGAAGAGAAUGACGGUACCUGACUAAGAAGCCCCGGCUAACUACGUG